GUCUGCAUGGCUGAGUGCUCUAAGGCUCUGUAUUCAUGUUGCAGUCUCCCCUGGAGGUGUGGGUUCAAAUUCCACUUCUGAUA